CUACCUUUGCGGGCUUGCCUCUAGGACGCCUCGCACUGCCGAGGUCGGGGGCGGCGCCCUGCUACCGCGGGGCCUUCGGCGAUUCCACGCAGACCACACCGCCCUCCAGAAACCAUGGGUGUUGCUAGACCCAGCUGGGAUUCUGCCAAGCUCUGGUGCUCAGUCUAAGACAAGGGCUGCCUUCCAGCCCUGUUCGCCCAGCCUGUCAUGGCCACACACCGAUGCCUCCCGCUUGCGUGGGGACACAGGGCACCCAGCCCCAACCCUGAAAGGUUAAGCCAGACCUUCUGGCUCCAUUCCACAGGGACACUGCAGGCCCGAGGCUCCUUUCAGAGCAAGAGCAACUGAUGUCAUGGGAGAAGCCCCUACCCAACUGUCCACUUGCCUGGCACUGCCUGUCCUGAGACCCACGCCCUGGGUCCUUCUGCAGGUGCCAACCCCGUGAGCUCCCUCCCACCCCCUGACCCGACGCUGAGAAGGCUCUCUCCAUUCCCAUCAUGUGUGAGGUGAUGCCCACAAUCAAUGAGGGGGACCCCCUGGGGCCCCCCCACGGUGCCGAUGCUGAGGCCAACUUUGAGCAGCUGAUGGUGAACAUGCUGGAUGAGCGAGAGAAGUUGCUGGAGUCCCUUCGGGAGAGUCAGGAAACUUUAGUAGCCACACAGAGCCGGCUCCAGGAUGCCCUUCACGAGCGAGACCAGCUCCAGCGCCACCUGAACUCUGCCCUUCCCCAGGAAUUUGCCACUUUAACUCGGGAGCUAAGCAUGUGUCGGGAGCAGCUUCUGGAGCGGGAGGAAGAGAUAUCUGAGCUGAAAGCAGAGCGGAAUAACACAAGGCUGCUUCUAGAACAUCUGGAAUGCCUCGUGUCCCGCCAUGAGCGGUCAUUGCGGAUGACAGUGGUAAAACGGCAGGCCCAGUCACCUUCAGGUGUCUCCAGCGAGGUGGAGGUGCUGAAGGCCCUCAAGUCACUAUUUGAGCACCACAAGGCCCUGGACGAGAAGGUGCGAGAGCGGCUCCGGGCAGCUCUAGAGCGUGUGACUACCUUGGAGGAGCAGUUGGCAGGAGCACACCAGCAGGUAUCUGCCCUGCAGCAGGGGGCAGGAAUUCGGGAUGGAGUGGCAGAAGAGGAAGGGACCGUGGAUCUGGGACCAAAACGCCUGUGGAAAGAUGACACUGGCCGGGUGGAAGAGCUGCAAGGACUCUUGGAGAAGCAAAACUAUGAGUUGAGCCAGGCCCGUGAGCGGCUGGUCACCUUGAGUGCCACCGUGACUGAGCUUGAAGAGGACCUGGGCACGGCCCGCCGAGACCUCAUCAAGUCAGAGGAGCUGAGCAGCAAGCAUCAGCGGGACCUCCGAGAGGCUCUGGCUCAGAAGGAGGACAUGGAAGAGCGAAUCACCACACUGGAAAAGCGCUACUUGGCUGCUCAACGAGAGGCCACAUCCAUCCAUGACCUCAAUGACAAACUGGAGAAUGAGCUGGCCAACAAGGAAUCCCUGCACCGCCAGUGCGAGGAGAAAGCCCGGCAUCUGCAGGAGCUGCUAGAAGUGGCAGAGCAGAAGCUGCAGCAGACCAUGCGCAAGGCAGAGACUCUGCCCGAGGUGGAGGCAGAGCUGUCUCAGAGAAUCGCAGCCCUCACCAAGGCGGAGGAACGUCAUGGCAACAUUGAGGAACAUCUGCGGCAGCUGGAAGGGCAGCUGGAGGAGAAGAACCAGGAGCUGGCAAGGGUGCGCCAGCGGGAGAAGAUGAACGAAGACCACAACAAGCGGCUGUCAGACACCGUGGACCGGUUGCUUAGUGAGUCCAACGAACGCCUGCAGCUCCACCUCAAGGAGCGAAUGGCAGCCCUGGAGGAGAAGGGCCGUCUGUCUGAAGAAAUUGAGAAACUUCGCCAAGAGGUGGACCAGCUGAAGGGUCGAGGGGGGCCGUUUGUGGAUGGCAUCCACUCCAGGUCACAUGUGGGCAGCGCAGCAGAUGUGAGGUUCUCACUGAGUACAGCCACACACGCGCCCCCAGGUCUGCAUCGACGCUAUUCGGCGCUGAGGGAUGAAUCUGCCAAGGACUGGAAGCCAUCGCCACUGCCAGGGGUGUUGGGUGCCACCACGCCUGCCUUUGACAGUGACCCUGAGAUCUCUGAUGUGGAUGAGGAUGAGCCUGGGGGCUUGGUGGGCACUCAGGUCGAUGUCAUCUCACCCGGUGGCCAUUCGGAUGCCCAGACCCUGGCCAUGAUGCUGCAGGAGCAGCUAGAUGCCAUCAACCAGGAGAUCAGAAUGAUCCAGGAGGAGAAGGAGUCCACUGAGCUUCGAGCUGAGGAAAUCGAGACCCGUGUGACCAGCGGCAGCAUGGAGGCCCUCAACCUGACCCAGCUGCGCAAGCGCGGCUCUAUCCCCACCUCUCUGACCGCCCUUUCCCUGGCCAGUGCAUCUCCACCGCUCAGUGGCCGCUCCACACCCAAGCUCACUUCCCGAAGCGCUGCCCAGGAUCUGGACCGAAUGGGGGUCAUGACCCUGCCCAGCGACUUAAGAAAGCAUAGGAGGAAGCUGCUGUCGCCAGUGUCUCGGGAAGAGAACCGAGAGGAUAAAGCCACCAUAAAAUGUGAGACUUCUCCUCCUUCCUCACCCAGGACGCUGCGGCUGGAGAAGCUUGGCCACCCCGGCCUGAGUCAAGAAGAGGGCAAGAGUGCCUUGGAGGCCCAGGACAGUAACCCCAGCAGCAGCAACAGCAGCCAGGACUCCCUGCACAAGGGCGCCAAGCGCAAGGGCAUCAAGUCAUCCAUUGGCCGCCUGUUUGGGAAGAAGGAGAAGGGCAGGCUGAUCCAGCUGAGUCGGGACGCCACGGGCCAUGUUCUGCUCACAGACUCCGAGCUCAGUCUGCAGGAACCAAUGGUACCUGCCAAGUUGGGGACCCAGGCUGAGAAGGACCGGCGAUUGAAAAAGAAACACCAGCUGCUUGAAGAUGCUCGCCGAAAAGGAAUGCCCUUUGCCCAAUGGGAUGGCCCCACGGUAGUCUCCUGGCUGGAGCUCUGGGUGGGGAUGCCUGCCUGGUAUGUGGCAGCCUGCCGGGCCAACGUCAAGAGUGGCGCCAUCAUGUCCGCCCUGUCGGACACGGAGAUCCAGCGGGAGAUCGGCAUCAGCAAUGCCCUCCACAGACUCAAGCUCCGCCUGGCCAUCCAGGAGAUGGUGUCACUGACGAGCCCCUCAGCUCCGCCUACCUCCAGGACUUCUUCAGGGAAUGUCUGGGUGACCCACGAAGAGAUGGAAACUCUGGCAACAUCUACCAAAACAGACAGUGAGGAGGGCAGCUGGGCCCAGACCCUGGCCUAUGGAGACAUGAAUCACGAGUGGAUUGGAAAUGAAUGGCUGCCCAGCCUGGGGCUCCCUCAGUACCGUAGUUACUUCAUGGAGUGCCUGGUAGAUGCCCGAAUGCUGGAUCACCUCACCAAGAAGGACCUGCGUGUCCACCUCAAGAUGGUGGACAGUUUCCAUAGAACCAGCCUUCAGUAUGGCAUCAUGUGUCUGAAGAGGCUGAAUUAUGACCGGAAGGAGCUGGAGAAGAGGCGGGAAGAGAGCCAGCAUGAGAUCAAGGAUGUGUUGGUCUGGACCAAUGACCAGGUGGUUCACUGGGUCCAGUCUAUAGGGCUAAGGGACUAUGCAGGAAACCUACAUGAGAGUGGUGUGCAUGGCGCCCUGCUGGCCCUGGAUGAGAACUUCGACCACAACACACUGGCCUUGGUUCUGCAGAUCCCCACACAGAACACCCAGGCCCGCCAAGUGAUGGAGAGAGAGUUCAAUAACCUGUUGGCCUUGGGUACAGACAGGAAAUUGGAUGAUGGGGAAGAGAAGGUGUUCCGUCGAGCACCCUCCUGGAGGAAACGCUUCCGGCCUCGGGAUCACCAUAGCGGUGGCAUGUUGGGCACCUCAGCGGAGACCCUCCCGGCGGGCUUCCGUGUGUCCACGCUGGGUCCGCUGCAGCCUCCGCCCGCCCCGCCUAAGAAGAUCAUGCCGGAAGCCGGGACGGCGGGGGCGCAGAGACUGGAGCCCUCCACGGUCCGGACCUACUCCUGCUGACCCCCCACCCUCCCGCCCCGGGUCUGACGGGGGUACGCCCCCGGCUCGGGCUCACUCUCACUAUCUCUACGGACACAUGCUCUCCGCCUUCCGGGACUAGCCACGGCCCCCAGGGCGGGUGUCCUGGUUUCACAGGCUCAGCCGGCCCUGACCCUUCCUGCUCGUUCCCUUUCUCCCUUGGCUCCCAGUCUCUCCUCUGUGACUUUCCAGUUGCCCGGGAUCUCAGAAUAUGCUCAUCCACUCCUUCGGCAUCUCACUAUCCGAGUCCUACUUCGUUCCCCCUUUGUAAGUCUCUGGAGGAUGUGGCCAAGGUCUCCCCGUGAGUGGCGGGCACCCAGGUUGUAGGUGUUUGAGAUUCUGUGGGAGGGAGGGAAGGACAGCACCGAGUGUGUGGCCACCUUCCCUCUUCCGGAUCUGUUUUGGUCUGGACUAUGGACUUACCAGGCCCAGGAUCCCGGACCAAAGACUGAGAUGACCCUUCCAAUAAAAGGCCAUUUUGGACUCUG